rnacentral:rRNA from 1 species
AAGGAUUCCCCUAGUAACGGCGAGUGAAGCGGGAAGAGCUCAAAUUUGAAAUCUGGCAGUCUUCGAUUGUCCGAGUUGUAAUCUAUAGAGGCGUUUUCCGUGCCGGACCGUGUCCAAGUCUCCUGGAAAGGAGUAUCAAAGAGGGUGAUAAUCCCGUACUUAACACGACCACCGGUGCUCUGUGAUACGUCUUCUACGAGUCGAGUUGUUUGGGAAUGCAGCUCAAAAUGGGUGGUGAAUUCCAUCUAAAGCUAAAUAUUGGCGAGAGACCGAUAGCGAACAAGUACCGUGAGGGAAAGAUGAAAAGCACUUUGGAAAGAGAGUUAAACAGUACGUGAAAUUGUUGAAAGGGAAACGAUUGAAGCCAGUCGUGUUCUUUGGAUUCAGCCAGUUCUGCUGGUCUACUUCCUUGGAACGGGUCAACAUCAGUUUUGUCCGGUGGAUAAAGGUAGUAGGAAUGUGACUUCUCCGGAAGUGUUAUAGCCUAUUAUCACAUACACUGGGUGAGACUGAGGACU